rnacentral:rRNA from 1 species
GGUGACAAAGUUCAACGGCCGCGGCUACCCUAACCGUGCGAAGGUAGCAUAAUCACUUGUUCUUUAAAUAAGGACUAGUAUCAACGGCACCACGAGGGCUACACUGUCUCCUUUCUCCAAUCAGUGAAACUGAUCUCCCCGUGAAGAAGCGGGGAUUAAUAUAUAAGACGAGAAGACCCCAUGGAGCUUUAAACUCACCAUACACCUCUGUUUACCUACAUCAUUAUAUCCUAAAAGACUUGUAUGCUAGUUUUAGGUUGGGGGGACCGCGGAGUAAAAAUUAACCUCCGCAACAAAUGGGCUACGCCCUUAUCUAAGAACUACAGUUCUAAGAAUCAAUAAACUGAUGUUUAAUGACCCGAAUUAUCGAUCAACGAACCAAGUUACCCUGGGGAUAACAGCGCAAUCUACUUCAAGAGCUCCUAUCGACAAGUGGGUUUACGACCUCGAUGUUGGAUCAGGGUAUCCCAGUGGUGCAGCCGCUACUAAAGGUUCGUUUGUUCAACGAUUAAAACCCUACGUGAUCUGAGUUCAAACCGGAA